rnacentral:rRNA from 1 species
CAGCAGCCACGGGAAUACGGAGGGUGCAAGCGUUAUCCGGAUUUAUUGGGUUUAAAGGGUCCGUAGGCGGAUCUGUAAGUCAGUGGUGAAAUCUCACAGCUUAACUGUGAAACUGCCAUUGAUACUGCAGGUCUUGAGUAAAUUUGAAGUGGCUGGAAUAAGUAGUGUAGCGGUGAAAUGCAUAGAUAUUACUUAGAACACCAAUUGCGAAGGCAGGUCACUAAGAUUUAACUGACGCUGAUGGACGAAAGCGUGGGGAGCGAACAGGAUUAGAUAUCCCUGUAGUCCCUGUCUCUUAUAC